rnacentral:rRNA from 1 species
AGUGGCGGAAGGGCGAGGAACACGUGAGCAACCUGGUCCUUGAAGGUGGGGAAAACCGUUGGAAACGACGGCUAAUACCGAAUGCGGCGCCGGGAGACAUCUCCGAGCGCUAAAGGGGGCCGCAAGGCUCCCCCUCUUCGAGGGGCUCGCGCACCAUCAGCUUGUUGGCGGGUAACGGCCCACCAAGGCUCACGGUUAGCUGGUCUGAGAGGAUGGCCAGCCGCACUGGGACUGAGAUACUGCCCAGACUCCUACGGGAGGCUGCAGUCGAGGAUCAUUCGCAAUGGGGGAAACCCUGACGAUGCGACGCUGCGUGGAGGAAUGAAGGCCCUCGGGUCGUAAACUCCUGUCAUGAGGGAAAAGGCGAGGGGACCCAACACGUCCCUUAGUUGAUGGUACCUCAAGAGGAACGGGCGGCUAACUCUGUGCCAGCAGCUGC